AGAGUUUGAUUCUGGCUCAGGAUGAACGCUGGCGGCGUGCUUAACACAUGCAAGUCGAACGGAGUUUUUAAACGGAAGUUUUCGGAUGGAAGUUUAGAAACUUAGUGGCGGACGGGUGAGUAACGCGUGGGUAACCUGCCUCAUACAGGGGGAUAACAGUUAGAAAUGACUGCUAACACCGCAUAAUAUAGCGAAACCGCAUGAUUUUUGCUAUCAAAUAUUUAUAGGUAUGAGAUGGGCCCGCGUCUGAUUAGCUAGUUGGUGGGGUAAAAGCCUACCAAGGCGACGAUCAGUAGCCGGCUUGAGAGAGUGACCGGCCACAUUGGGACUGAGACACGGCCCAAACUCCUACGGGAGGCAGCAGUGGGGAAUAUUGGACAAUGGGGGAAACCCUGAUCCAGCCGACGCCGCGUGAGUGAAGAAGUAUUUCGGUAUGUAAAGCUCUAUCAGCAGGGAAGAUAAUGACAGUACCUGACUAAGAAGCCCCGGCUAACUACGUGCCAGCCGCCGC
rnacentral:rRNA from 1 species